rnacentral:lncRNA from 1 species
AGACUUCAAGGACCGAAUUCACAAACAAAGGUUAACCCAGUCAAAGAUAAAAGAAAAUCGUCAUCAAAGUGUUCGUGCCCGAAAAUAUUACGACGACUACAGAGUUCAGUUACGUGCAAAAAUGAUGAAGAUGAGAACCCGGGAGGAAAUGAUCUUUAAGAAACUUUCAAAGCACGGCUGCAGCUGGCUUCCUUCCAGUACAGUAAAAAUCCUUUCCCAAGAGGCCAAACUCCAUAGGUGAAGUUUCUAGACACCUUAAUGUGAACAGAGCUAGACCUGAGCCAGUAAACCGUCUAAACCAGAAUAUGCCUUAUUUAUGUAUUCAUGUUAAAAGUUAGAAUGUUUUAAAUAAAAGACUUUUUUUUUUA